AAGUCGUAACAAGGUUUCCGUAGGUGAACCUGCGGAAGGAUCAUUAAUACGUCUAAACAACGUUUUAAACCUUUCAAAUUUGUGGAAAUUCUUACCGUGCAUCUCUUUGGCAUGAGAAGGGACUUCUUGUUAUGAGACACUUCAGUGUAGAGCAGUGAGGUGAAAUCUGAGGUUUUGAUGGCUUGGAUUUGGUUCUGGAUCACGACUCUUUGGUGACAGAGAGUCAAAUGCUGAAUGCAUUCGGUUAUUACUGCUCUACAUUUUCUUAUUCUAUCAAACUUAUAAACCCCAUGUACAACAACUUGAACUAAACAUCUCUUCUGAUCACAUUGACUUGUGUGAUGAAGAACAAAUCUGAAAUUAAGAACAACUCUUAACAACGGAUAUCUUGGUUCUC
rnacentral:misc_RNA from 1 species